GGACACUAUUGAUAAAUCGGGAUUGAUGUCACUUUUUACAGUUGGCGCGGGGCUUCGACGUCAUCAGCUGGGAUGGGGGGCGGGGCGACAAGGCAGUACAACGCGUAUAUAUAGCGGGAUCCUGCAGCGAUCCAGUGUGGAUCAGUGUGUUGGCUGUGAGAGACUUGGAGGAUACACGCGUUUGCCGGCAAUUUUUUCUUAAGGCUCAUUGUACCCAUAAUCCAAAGCCGGUAUUUAUCGGUUGAAGUUGGGGAAUUACAUCGUCUGGAGGAUUUCCUGGUGGUUGUCACGCUGCGACCACUGACCGAUCAUUGAUUCCAAUAAAGAACUGCAAAAUGUCUCCAGCACAAACAAUGUACGCGCUUCUUCUGCUGGCUGCCGCCCUGAUUGCGGUAGUCUCGUGCAGCAAAGAUGAGACCAUUGUCAAGGUGUAUGACGGACCCGGCGAUAUGGAGAAACGCGACAAAUUCACGAAGGGCUUCAACAACGACUACAGUCAUCUGCGCUUUGGCCGUGCUGACCCCGACAUGAUGAUGCUGCCGCCUUACUUUCCCCCGUACUACGAGAAACGCGCUUCAUACGGCAACGACUACGGACAUAUGCGCUUCGGUCGCCGCGGACCCUCAGCCUCCUUCACCGACUACGGACAUCUGCGAUUUGGCCGAUAGGUCAUGAAAAGGUCAAUCCAUAUAUCAUCCGCUCGGUGCCGAAUUGAAUAAGCUCAUAUCGGGAGGAAUCAUUUUACAGGGUGACAGACAAUCUGCACAACCAUGGUUCUGAAUGCAAAAAGCUAGGCAAUCGUGCGUUACUUUUUGUAAAUGUACGCUAAGUGCGCUAUCUUGUUCAUCCUGCAGCAUGUCCGCGAAUUUUUACUCAUGAUGUUCAGUUGCGUAAUAUUAAUUAUGGCGUUCGGUGGGCGUUGGUACACCAGUUCGUGUGUAUGUAGAAAAGACAUUUCCGUACUUGGGAAUGGAUCUCACUUUAUGCUGUGGUGCCGGUUAAAGUCAUUAUCAUUUCUUCGCUAAUAAGAAUAAUAUUACAUUCCUUAACAGAUGAAUUUCCCUUGUACUGCAUUUCUCAUCAUAAUAAAUGCAAAUUUUGUUUCA